rnacentral:rRNA from 1 species
UAAUACUCCAUAGUAUAUAAUCAUCGCAUGGUGGUUAUAUUAAAACUCCGGUGGUAUAAGAUGGGCAUGCGUAGGAUUAGCUAGUAGGUGAGGUAACGGCUCACCUAGGCAACGAUCCUUAGGGGUUCUGAGAGGAUUACCCCCCACACUGGUACUGAGACACGGACCAGACUCCUACGGGAGGCAGCAGUGAGGAAUAUUGGUCAAUGGCCGCAAGGCUGAACCAGCCAUCCCGCGUGCAGGAUGACGGCCCUACGGGUUGUAAACUGCUUUUCUAUGCCAAGAAACCCACCUACGUGUAGGUGGUUGCCGGUAGCAUAGGAAUAAGCAUCGGCUAACUCCGUGCCAGCAGCCGCGGUAAUACGGAGGAUGCAAGCGUUAUCCGGAUUCAUUGGGUUUAAAGGGUGCGCAGGCGGGCUUGUAAGUCAGUGGUGAAAUACUGCCGCUUAACGGUAGAACUGCCAUUGAUACUGCAAGUCUUGAAUAUGGUUGAGGUAGGCGGAAUGUGUUGUGUAGCGGUGAAAUGCAUAGAUAUGACACAGAACACCGAUUGCGAAGGCAGCUUACUAAGCCAUGAUUGACGCUGAGGCACGAAAGCGUGGGGAGCGAACAGGAUUAGAUACCCUGGUAGUCCACGCUGUAAACGAUGUUCACUCGCUGUUUGCGAUAUACCGUAAGCGGCUGAGCGAAAGCAUUAAGUGAACCACCUGGGGAGUACGAUCGCAAGGUUGAAACUCAAAGGAAUUGACGGGGGCCCGCACAAGCGGAGGAACAUGUGGUUUAAUUCGAUGAUACGCGAG